rnacentral:piRNA from 1 species
UUCCAUAAACAGAACAGCCAAUUCAGGGG